UGCUAACAGAACGGUUGACUGCUUCCAUGUCUGACAUGUCACGUUCUUCUUACAGAAGCAGUUCAUGGGUCUGAAUUUCUCCUGAGUGGGGAACAGCUUUCUAACCUGCUAGUUCAAUUUUCGUGGUCAUUUAAAAAGCAAAUACAUGUUCCCAGCAAGGAAAAUUGGCACCCUACAAAGUAAAAGGAUUACUGAAAUUGAGAAAAGAACAGGUAAGGUAUGUCAGCAUCCUUGAGGCCAAUUUAUUCUUUGUUGCAAAUUAGAGGUGUAGCCAUUAACAUCUCAAACAGAGCCGGCAGAUUGAGGCCAGCAGAGGUAUACUUGCCCAAUUGCUUUGCAGGGGAUUUGAGCAGUAAUUUUUCUCUCUUUCAGGAACUGUGUGAGACCAGGAGCUAAAAACAAGGAUGGGCCUGGCUGGAGGAGGAGUAGGGAGUCAGCUGUGGGGAACAAGUGCAGCCUUUGGAAGGACAGAGCACACAGAGCUGGUGGUGGCUUCUUCUCCCUUUCCCUGAGCAUCUCUUCACGUAGCCCCAAGCCAGCUGCAGCAGGAAUAGAGACUCUCCUCUGGCCACCCUCACGGCAGCUCACUGUGACGGACGGGACGGGCGCUCCCCUUAGCACCUGGUGCACUUCCUGAGGCCGGCGUCUCACAGCUGCGGGGCAGCCCAAGGUGAGGCUCAUCCUGUCGGGGCUGCAGGCAGUCAGAGGCAUCACAGUCAUCACAAGAUUGGCACCACUGUUUCCUGUAGUGGCAGCAUCUCACCAGCCUUGGGAAAGGGCUCUUAAUGUUUGUGCAUGUUUCUUUGCACUUUUUCAGCCUACUUGAGAAAGUCUUCUAUUAAGGGAAUGAAAAGCUUAGUAUGAAACUUCUGGGUUAUAUAUUCAUAUAUUUUUGAAUUGUAAUAUAUUAUAGAAUAUAUAUUUUCAUAUGUUCAUGUGAAUGUUGUGAAGAGUUGAUUCCAAGUCAGAGGGUUUUGGAAAUAUUUUUGCCAGUCAGAGACAGCGUAAUACUUAGUAAUAGGCACUCACAUUGAGGGUCAGCCUUAUUGCCCAUGAAUAACAACUUCCUUUCUCUUCCUUGUAGUUUUGCCCGACUUAACUCAAAGCCAGAAUUUAUACUCCCACAUCAGGAAAGUUCUGAAUUUUUUCUUUAUCUUUUUCCUUUGUAAAAUAUUUUAGCAGCACUGGCAGCAGCUGGGCAGGGAUUUGGAGGCUAUUUCCUAAAAGACAGAAGUGCUUGCUCCAAGGGUGCAAUUUUUUCCCUAAAAAGGUUUUCUAACUGUGUAAAGACGUAACUAAAAUAAAACUCUUCCUCCUUUCAUUCCUUCACUGUGGCUAGAGUGUGUUUUGUGAGCUCGAGGAGCAGGGAAGCUCAACUGCUCAAAGAGAGGUACUUAAAAAUGUUUUUAGCAGCGGUGUUGUGGAGGAAACGUGUCCCGUGUGGCUCCCCACUCCAGGCAGUGCUGCUGCUUCUGCUUUAGGAUUAAUGAACAUUUCCUCUAAAGGAAAGAAAACGUGCUCCUGCCAUUGAACCAUGCAGAAGCUCCUCCAUUCGUGCACUCCCUCCAGCACAGCAGCACUGCAGCGAGUUACCAGGCCAGUGCACAAUGUCUGUCUGUCUGUCUGCAGCUCAGUGGGCCUAGGGGUAUGUUCAGUGUACAGGAACAAGAAGAUGUCUCAGAAGUAGUCAAUGCAGUCACGCUUUAAUGUGUUUUUACAUCCUUUUACGAUUCACAAAGCCAGAAUAUAAGUACUUAUACAUUUUUAAUAGGAAAGUAAUAUAUUCCCCUAAAAGAAAAAUAGAUUUGAUUAAUUAUUUGUCAUAAAAGUUGCCUGACAGUUGAAACUUCAAGCUUCUAAGCUAGAAAAGCUCAAAUAGACAAAUUAUACUGAAAUGUUCUUUAAAGACCAAGCAGCUGCUUUAUUAAAAUAUUAAAUUUACAAUUUAAAAAGAAAUAUUCUGAUUUAUUAUUCAAUUAUGAUAAUCUUAUUGAAGUGACAUGAAAUUCAUGACAGUGGGCUUUAUUCUGUCCAAAUUCUGUCCUCGGUUAUCCUCAGGCAAUCAGUUUUGCCAUUACUUAGAAGUGUGCAAGAUGACCCACACAGAGCAGCACCAUGCUGGAAAGACAAAUCCCAGAUACUGGAGUUCAACUCGAUUCUAAUUUUCCCCAGAAAAAGGGGGGUUUGAGGCCUGGGAUUAGGGCUGAUCCCACACCUGUGCCAAUGAGGCCCUUGGUCAGACCCCAAGAACCCAUCCAAAUCUCACUGUCACAGAGAAGGGAUUGCAGAAUACACCAACUUCAUCCCGCAGCACAAGUGAAUGACCUUCAAACAACUUGAAGCAGGUUGAAUUUACAUUUUACUUCAAAAAAAAAGGGAAGUACAUACAUGAGGGGAAAGGGGGUGAACAACAGUUGUCUGAACCCAGGUUUCUACCCUUUUACCUACAGUUGCCACCUCUGUUUGACUUGGCCGGGCUCCUGCCAGCCAUCACACGCCUGCUUACAACAGCAACAGGAUUGUGGAUCAAGGAAACAGUUUCAAAGUUGAGGCCCAAAUGGAAAUAGUAAGGUAUCAUACACAGUGUAAGUUUAUAGUACACAGCAUCUUUUCUUAAAUGACAUAACGCAACAGCAGGAAGGAGUAGUAGUAGUUAACAGUUACUAACACUAGAAUAAUCAAAUUUGUAUGUUAUACAUAUACAGCAACUAACUGCUUUACAAAAAAAGCAAAAUAAUACAAUAUAUUGUCACAUGUAUUUACAGUGUAGUAAAUAUACUUUUCUGUCAAAUUUUACACAAAAAACUAUUUACAGGUGAAUAUACUGCAUUAAAAAAAAAUGGUGGGACCAACACUAAAAGUGACUUUCUGUGGUAAGUUUGUUGCAUAACAAUAAGACGUGCUUCAUUACAUUGGAAAAGAAAUUAACCUCAGAAUGGAACAGAAAAGACCCUAAAACCUACAACCCAGUUAGGAAUAGAGCACUGGAAUGCUCCCGGGUCCACAAUACUUAGGUGAAAUGUUUCCUGUUCUUGGAAACCUCAUGCACAUUAAAGCAGAAACAUUGGCAUAAUUAACAGGUAGGUUAUGCACUAUUCAAAUACUACUGAAUUAUCUUUAAGUCAGGGAAAAUACAAACACAAACAAAAAUGUUAAUCAUCUUUACAGUACUUAACUGUAGUUAGUGCGUGAUGGGUAACGUGUUCUAAACCAGGGGUGUCAAACGUACAGUCCCCAUGAUGUCCUCACAUGGGCCGCCUGUUAAACCCGGGUUUUCCUGAAGCCAAGUCUCAUGUCCAAGUACACUGACUCCGUGCUGCAGGAGCAGCCUGCAGGGAGUGCCUCGAGCAGCCCAUGCAGCAGCGACUGCCUGGAAGCCCACGGGCUGCCUGCAGGAGCCACUCGAAGGUCGGAACGCUUGGAUCUGUCUCCUGCUCGCUCGGUCAGGUUCAAAUCCUCAUCAGCAACUAACUACCUGCUGAUCAGCACGAGCAUAGAGGAGUAAUGGGCAAGGAGGGGACGGAAGCAGGCCGGACUGGGAACUGAGGGGUGCUCACCGUAACGAAACACAGCGGGGUGGAGAAAAACCAGGAAAAGAGAACAAAUGAAGGAAGAUGCGAGCAAGAAAACAAAAAGGCAAAAUAACAGCACUGGCUGUUACAGGGAGCAGGCCAAGGGAUGCAUGUGACAGUAAGGCACUGAACGACUAAUUACUAAUAGGAGUUUCAUCAGUGAAGAAAGGCUGUGGUCCCCUCCUUGAGCUAAGCACAAGCUUCCCAACCACUGGUACUGGGAGAUGACGUUCCCGUGUAUCAGAGCGCACGUGAUCCCAAAAUAAACCUUGGCCAUCGGCUGUAAUUACACCCACAUUCAGCUCCCGUGACCCACGUGUUUGACACCCCUGCUCUAAGAAAGUUCAGGUCCUCUCACUGAGCCAUGCAGUGAAGACAUGAAAUGACUCCCCCUCCUUCCAGGAAAUAGAAUAAAUUAAGUUUUGUUCACUUCCUUUAUGAAGAUACCAGGUUUUUUCAGCUGGAACUGAGAGCCUGGAAUAGUUCUCACAGGAAAGGUAAUUUUAAUCCCUUCCAUGUUGAUUUCACAUUCUGUGUGUUUCAAACAAUGCAUUAAUUUAAGGACCCUUUUUAUAGAGGCAAUGCAAAAAUCUUGAAAGAGGUGCUCUCAUGCUCCCAGUCAAACAAAACCCAUUUGGUAGUUCAUCUGGAAUUACUAUUUCUGUUUAAAGAAAAUCUGCUGGUAGGAGAAAACUGAAAACUACAUUUUUCUAACAGCAAAUUACUUUUACAAGAGAUUCUUUUUCCCUCCUACCUACAAAUCUUCAGGCUUCUACAAUUCAUUGUCUUCAGCACAGCAGAAAGGGCUGGAAUGAGCUCGAUGCGGUCUAACAAGCACUCACUGGCAGCGAUGCUGAAGGUGGCUCUUUGCAACGUGACGUAUGAGAUGAGAACAGCUUUUGUAUCGGUGACUCCUGGAGCUGUCUGUGCACAGCCCCAGCCACUGCUCUCCUCCUGCACUCAGCUCACAACCCCUUUCACAGUCCCACGUCAGCUCAGUAACCACAUUCCUACCGCAGCGCCGACUGACCAGGAAUAAAGAGAUUUGGUUAACUGCACGAGCCUUCGCCUUUCCCAGCGUCUCUAUUCCAAGACUGCUAAAUCUAAGUUUUCCUCUUGUUUUGGCAAACUAUUUGCAUAUUAAGUUUGUGUUCAUAGUUUUUCCAGGACUGUAAACAAAUUAAAGAAAUUAAAGUGUUAUUUUAGGAAUCAAUACAAUAAAGGUAUUUUUAUUUACAUACA